GGUGAACGCUGGCGGCGUGCCUAAUACAUGCAAGUCGAGCGAACGGACGAGAAGCUUGCGUCUCUGAUGUUAGCGGCGGACGGGUGAGUAACACGUGGAUAACCUACCUAUAAGACGGGGAUAACUUCGGGAAACCGGAGCUAACACCGGAGGAUAUUUUGAACCGCAUGGUUGAAAAGUGAAAGACGGUCUUGCUGUCACGUAUAGAUGGAUCCGCGCUGCAUUAGCUAGUUGGUAAGGUAACGGCUUAUCAGGGCAACGAUGCAUAGCCGACCUGAGAGGGUGAUCGGCCACACUGGAGCUUGGCCGCGGUCCAGGCUCCUGCGGUAGGCAGCAGUAGCGAAUCUUCCGCAGAGGGCGAAAGCCUGACGGAGCAGCGCCGCGUGAGUGAUGAAGGUCUUCGGAUCGUAAAGCUCUGUUAUUAGGGAAGAACAUAUGUGUAAGUAACUGUGCACUUCUUGACGGUACCUAGUCAGAAAGCCACGGCUAACUACGUG
rnacentral:rRNA from 1 species